rfam:Pan troglodytes isolate Yerkes chimp pedigree #C0471 (Clint) chromosome 11, whole genome shotgun sequence.
GCCAGGCAUGGUGGCGCAUGCCUGUAAUCCCAGCUACUUAGGAGGCUGAGGCAGGAGAAUCGCUUGAACCCAGGAGGCAGAGGUUGCGAUGAGCCGAGAUCGCACCAUUGCAAUCCAUCCUGGGCUACAAGAGCGAAACUCCGUCUCAA